rnacentral:rRNA from 1 species
UAUCUCUGUAGAGUCUGCAUAUCAAUAAGCGGAGGAAAAGAAACUAACAAGGAUUCCCUUAGUAACGGCGAGUGAAGCGGGAAGAGCUCAAAUUUGAAAUCUUCAAGGUUUUACCUUGACGAAUUGUAGUUUGAAGAAGUGUUUUCUGUUGAAGUUUUGGUAAAAGUUCUUUGGAAUAGGACAUCAUAGAGGGUGAGAAUCCCGUAUUUGACCAUUAUUUUCAGCUGUGUGAUACACUUUCAAAGAGUCGGAUUGUUUGGGAAUGCAGUCCAAAAUGGGUGGUAAAUUUCAUCUAAAGCUAAAUAUUGGCGAGAGACCGAUAGCGAACAAGUACCGUGAGGGAAAGAUGAAAAGAACUUUGAAAAGAGAGUUAAACAGUACGUGAAAUUGUCAAAAGGGAAGCGUUUAACACCAGUGUUGUUUUCCUCGAAAAUCAAUUAAAAAGAGUUUGAUUUUGUUGUGUAUUGACCUUAACAGCUUGCAUUUCAAUUUUCUUGCUUUUUUUAAUGCACUUUUCGUUUAACAAGUCAACAUCAGUUUCUUUUGUUGUAAAAAGGUCAUUGGAAGGUGGCUUUCUUUUCGGAGAAAGUGUUUAUAGCCUUUGACUCCUGCAAUCGGAGAGACUGAGGUCUGCAGCGUAGAUCCUUCGGGGUUAGAUACAUUUGUGCUAAGUUAUAGCCUUUUAUAGACAACUUGUUGACUAUGAUUAGUCUUGUAGCUUACUCGCUUAUGCUAUUUUACCUACGCUUAGGAUGUUGAAGAUAUGCGCGACAC